AGAGAUUGUAAGGGCGGUUCGACAGAGAAUUACUGUGUGACCCACAAUUCCCCUCCUAGGCAUAUACCUAAAAGAAUUGAAAACAGGGACUCAGAUAGAUACUUGCACUCUGGUGUUCACAGCAGCAUUAUUCACAAAAGCUGGAAAACAGAAACAACCCAAAUGUCCAUCAGUGGAUGAACAGAUAAACGGUGCCAAACACAUUCACGCAACGGAACAUUACUGAGCCGUCAAAAGGAAGCGCUGAUACACACGGCAUGGAUGAACCUUGAAAAACUAUGCUGCUUGAAAGUCAGACAUAAAAGGCCACGUGCCUGUGAUCCCAUUGACAUGAAAUGUCCACAACAGUUGCCCCUCAGUGGGAACAGGCACCAGGUCCACAAAAAACACCUGCACGACAUUCGUAGCAGCUUCCUCGUCACUGCCAGACGCGGGACAGCAGCAGCGUAGCUGGCCCGGCAAACGGAAGACAGGCUGGGGCAUCUUCUCGCCGUGGAGGAUGACGCCACGUGAGAAAGAGCCAGCACCGUGCGCGGAGAAUUAACCCUGUGACAUGAUGAACCCCCAAAACAUCACGCUGAGUGAAAGGGCCAGACACAGAAGGCCGCGGAGUGAGUGACUCAGUUGACGUGCAAGUCCAGGACAGGAACGUCCACAGAGACACCUGCAGAAGCCACAGGAACCGGUGCUAACUCUCUCAGCGAAUCACCUGAGACUGCCUGGGGAGAGGCUCCAUCCUGCCAGGUCCUGCGGUCCAUUCUCAGCCUCCAGGACGCUGUGCUCUCCGAGUUCCCCUCCCGCCUCCCAGCUGCCCCCUCGUGGUCUCUUCCACUGACUCCUCCUCAUCUCUGGGCCUUAAUGCUGGAGACAGAGCCCUGAGCUGGCCCUCUGCUCUCCUGCGGCUACACUCACGGCCCUGGGGAUUGCAACCAGCCUUGAGAAUUUAAAUGCCACUUAGACCUGACAAUGACCUCUCCCAGUGACAUCUUCUGCUCAGGCCUCUCUGCCAACCUUCAGGCGGCUGCACUUGGAAACCUCAUGGGCAGGCCCAAGCAUCAGGCCGGGGCCGCCUGCCAUCCGUGGGAGCCACACUCACGAAGCACAGACUGUGUGCGCCCGACUUCUCAGUACCUCACAGGCACGGUCUCA
rnacentral:lncRNA from 1 species